rnacentral:rRNA from 1 species
CGGCAUGCCAUACACAUGCAAGUCGAACGGCAGCACGGGAGCAAUCCUGGUGGCGAGUGGCGAACGGGUGAGUAAUACAUCGGAACGUGUCCUGUAGUGGGGGAUAGCCCGGCGAAAGCCGGAUUAAUACCGCAUACGCUCUACGGAGGAAAGGGGGGGAUCUUAGGACCUCUCGCUACAGGGGCGGCCGAUGGCAGAUUAGCUAGUUGGUGGGGUAAAGGCCUACCAAGGCGACGAUCUGUAGCUGGUCUGAGAGGACGACCAGCCACACUGGGACUGAGACACGGCCCAGACUCCUACGGGAGGCAGCAGUGGGGAAUUUUGGACAAUGGGGGCAACCCUGAUCCAGCAAUGCCGCGUGUGUGAAGAAGGCCUUCGGGUUGUAAAGCACUUUUGUCCGGAAAGAAAACCUUCGCCCUAAUAUGGUGGGGGGAUGACGGUACCGGAAGAAUAAGCACCGGCUAACUACGUGCCAGCAGCCG